rnacentral:rRNA from 1 species
GACGUAGGGCGCGAGCGUUGUCCGGAUUUAUUGGGCGUAAAGAGCUCGUAGGCGGCUUGUCGCGUCGUCCGUGAAAACCCACAGCUCAACUGUGGGCUUGCGGUCGAUACGGGCAGGCUAGAGUUCGGUAGGGGAGACUGGAAUUCCUGGUGUAGCGGUGAAAUGCGCAGAUAUCAGGAGGAACACCGGUGGCGAAGGCGGGUCUCUGGGCCGAUACUGACGCUGAGGCGCGACAGCGUGGGGAGCAAACAGG